CUCCCUCUCUUCUUUUUUCUUCUGCAGAUCUAAUGCGUGUUGUUGAUAUUUACUUCUUCCAUAUGGAUCUGCAGAGUUCUACUGAGUAUUCAUAAAGAGAGACGGAGAGGUUUCAGUAGAUAGAUGAAAAAUUAGGGUUUCAAAAAUCAGAAUUUCUUCGUCUCUGACAAAUCAGGUGAAGGUUAUGCUACCUCAAAUCAUAAUUAAAGGUCUAGGUUCUGUAGGAGGUGUUCUUGCAGGUUGAGAGCUUCAAUUUUUGGAAUCUAUUGAAAAAUUUGUUGGAGAUGAACAAAAGAGAGUAAAUUGAUUCAGAUUCAGGGUUUUCUAUUGAAUCCGAGAAUAAAUUGAGCAUAGCAGAGGCAUGGUGAGCAUAGCAGAGGCAUGGUGAUUAUCAUGGGUUUCAUAUGUGUUGGUGUUUGUCAAGGGUUGUAGAAGCUAUGAAGAUGGUGGGUUCGAUUUGGUAAUACAGGGUAUGGAAGAUGUUAUUUCAAUGAUGAUUAAACGGGAGUGAUGUUGAUUCGUGAACUGGUGGUGAUGUUCUCACUGAGAAGAAGAUGGUUUGAAUCGUGCUUGGUGGGAUGGUGGUAGCGGGUGUUGGAAUUGCAAGCCGUGAAUAGAGGGGUUGUGGGGUUUGUGGUACAAGUCCAUCAGUAAUCCUUCUCUCGAUACCAGAGUUCAACACAGAUCUCCUCUAAUAAGCUUCAGACUUUGGCCGGACAACAUUCUGAUGUACUUGAAAGUCUUGCACCAAAUGUUAGGAAGCGUGUUGAGGCUUUGAGAGAGAUUCAGGUCUGUGGCUGAUUUUUCUUUAGCGAUGGUUCUUGUGUACCUAGAUUAACUUAUGGGAGUCAUUCUCUUUUCUUGGGUUGCCUGCAGAGUAAGCGUAGCUGCACUUAUGGAGUUUAACGGGUUUGAGUUGAGAAGAAGUUGCAGAAAUGAGCUCGUUCUUGCGCUGAAGUUACAGGUUCUGGUGCUGCUAAAAUGAGGUUAUGAGCUGGGUGCUAGUACUGGGAUUUGAAGUGGUUGCUGCAACAGAUUGAAAACGCAGAGAACAAGGAAUUGGUUGAUGCAAUUGCAGGUGAUUGAACUCUGAAUUGGUAUUGGUUGAACGGUGUUGGCUGAGAUGCAGCAUGCAGGUCGUAUUUUUACUUGUUGCAGAACACUCUCCAGGCUAGGAUCGUCUCUUGUCGUCAAUCUGAGUUUGACAGGUUGCAAAGGGAGAUGGAUGAGCGUAUAUCCCAGCUGCUUCAGGAUCACAAGGAUAUAAGAGAGAAGCAGAGGAGGCUGAUAUUCAAUCUGAGGUCUGAGGAGGAGAGACAGAAGAAACUGGAGGAAGAUGAAGCUCUUCGUAAGCAGCAAGAGGCCAAAAGGAAAAAGAAAGAAGAAUCAGAGAGAAAGGCCAAGUUGGACGAGCUGGUGGAAAAGCAGAGGCAGAGAGAGGCUGAAGUGGAGGAGAGGGUAAGAAAGGAAAGGGAGGCUCAGUUUAAAGCACUGAUGCUCCAAGUCAGAUACAUGAUCUUUUUUUUUUCUCAAGUCAGAACCUAGUUACUUCAUGCAAUAUUUUUGUACGUGGCUACUUCCAGCUCUGAUUCUGAGCGCGGACACUAC